rnacentral:rRNA from 1 species
CCCUUAGAUGUUCUGGGCUGCACGCGCGCUACACUGAUGCGCUCAACAAGUUUAUGACCUUGCCCGGAAGGGUUGGGUAAUCUUCUUAGCACGCAUCGUGAUGGGGAUAGAUUAUUGCAAUUAUUAAUCUUCAACGAGGAAUUCCUAGUAAGCGCGAGUCAUCAGCUCGUGCUGAUUACGUCCCUGCCCUUUGUACACACCGCCCGUCGCUCCUACCGAUUGGGUGUGCUGGUGAAAUGUUCGGAUCGGCCGUUUGCCGCGGUUUCCGCGUCAUGUGGCUGAGAAGUUCAUUAAACCCUCCCACCUAGAGGAAGGAGAAGUCGUAACA